rnacentral:rRNA from 1 species
UACGGGGGGGGCCAGCGUUGUUCGGAAUUACUGGGCGUAAAGGGCUCGUAGGCGGCCAACUAAGUCAGACGUGAAAUCCCCAGGCUCAACCUGGGAACUGCGUCUGAUACUGGAUGGCUUGAAUCCGGGAGAGGGAUGCAGAAUUCCAGGUGUAGCGGUGAAAUGCGUAGAUAUCUGGAGGAAUACCGGUGGCGAAGGCGGCAUCCUGGACCGGCAUUGACGCUGAGGAGCGAAAGCCAGGGGAGCAAACGGG